AAAUAUCAAACACUAGACCGACUUCUGUAUUAUUUUAAGUAUUAUGUUUAGAUUAACAAUUAAGCAUCAGCUGUCUCCAAUGAUGACAUCACUUCCCCUAUAAAAGGGUGAUCAGUCUCAAUGCCACAAUACCUUUGACAAAGCUGCCUGGAGCAGCGAAACGCGUUAGUAAAAGACCGGUGUGGACACAUGCUGACCAGCACUUCCAUCACGCCACCACUUGCAGUCAGGACCUCUGCUUACAUCUCCAUCUCCGUGAACCAGGACCCCUACUGGCAUUGCUAUUGCCUACAACAUCUAUAGAGGAUCCACUUAAUGGAACACGGAGUUCCAAGUGAACUGUGAACCAGGACCCCAACUACAUCACCGUUGCCACACGGACUUACACCUAACGGGAUCCACUCUAAACGGAACACAGACUUGACAGCGAAUGGUCCAAAGAAGAAGUGUGCUGGGCAACGCCCUACUAUAGUAUUUAUACCCUAGCAGUUACAGGCCCUAUUCUGGAACAGGCCACGGAGGAGGAGGAGGAUGAUGAUGAGGCGGCAUUUAGUGACGAGGAGUGGCCAGAAUAAAUUUAUGUCCGUCGCCAACGUGUGGAGGAGACAGCUGUGCCAGUGAUCUAUGGGGGCCCCAGACCGGGCCAAGACAAGGACCAUGGGCCAGACACCCAGCACCCUGGCCCACAGUAUUACACUAGAGAACAGCUGCUGAUGGCCCUCCAGGCCCUUCGUAUAUUGGUCCACAUGAUAGAGGACCAGUUUUAUUCAUUUUUUGUUUUGCUGU